GGAAGUGUGACGCAAUGGUAGCGUGCUUGAGAACUCUAAGGGGUAAUCAAGAUUGUUCAGGUUCGACUCCUGGCACUUCCA
rnacentral:tRNA from 1 species